UGGUUCUAGAUUUCUGGUAAGUUUCUAUCAAGUCUGAAGAUUGGUGGUACGAGAGUAUUCUUUUCGAACAAUGUUGCGUUUUUUCUGCAAAACUUUGUUUAUAACAAAAGUUAAAGAUUCUACGAGUAACCAUGCUGCUCUUUUUCUUCGAACAAUAUCAUCAUCCACAGAAUCAACCUCAGGAAACUUGGGCUCCAUAGACCAAAAUAAUCUAACCAUCUCUUACCUCAUGAAUUCAUGUGGAUUGCCUUUCAAAGCCGCUACUUCAGUGUCACAGAAGAUCCGCAUCGGGACCACGGAGAGACCGGACUCUGUCAUUGAGCUCUUACAAACAAUUGGAUUGACCAACACCCACAUUGCUAAUCUAAUAACGAAGAACCCACGGCUGCUUUUCGCCGAUCCCGUCAAAACCCUUAAACCCAAGGUCGAGUUCUUUCAAUCUCUGGGCUUUUCUAGAUCUGACCUUGCUAGCUUCCUCUGCGCAGACAAAUCCAUCCUACACAGAAGCUUGCAAACAAAAAUAAUCCCGAGCUUAAAUUACCUUAAAACCUUCAUCCACACCAACGAGAACCUCAUCAGUUGUCUCAAACGAUUCGGCCGCGUCUAUAAUUUUAACGUUAAGAGAAUUUUGGAGCCUAACCUUGCAACAUUGCGAAGUUACGGUGUACCCGAUUCCGGUAUUUCGAGGGUGAUCAUCCACUUUCCCAAGUUACUGACGCUGAAGGUUUUGCGGUUGAAGGAUAUUGCUGCAGCGGUGAGCAAUAUGGGUUUUGAUCCCAACCGUUGCUCAUUCAUUAUAGCCAUUUACUCUAUAUCGGUGGUCAGCAAACAGAAGUGGGAAAGUAAAAGAGAGGCCUUUCGGAGGUUUGGAGUCUCUGAUGACGAAUUUCUUUUGGCCUAUAAGUUACAGCCUAUGGUCAUGCUCACUUCAGAGCAGAAGCUCGUGAAAUUUAUGGAUUUCUUUGUGAACAACCUGCAUUUGAAGCCAUCAGAUGUUGCGAAAUUUCCAAACAUUUUCCUGGUAAGUUUAGAAAGGAGAAUCAUUCCAAGGUGUUCAGUGCUGCAAGUUCUGAUGACCAAGGGCCUUAUUAAGAAGGAUGUGAAUAUACUUUCAGUGCUAAAUUCUAAUAAACAGAGUUUUGAGAAGAGGUUUUUUACUAGAUAUGAGGAGAAAGCCCCUGAGAUAAUCAAGGCAUACGAAGGUGAAAUGGGAUUUCUAGGAUUUGACAGUUGACACUGGUGUUGAAGAUGGUGGAUGAAUUAAGUAAAUAAAUUGAAGGUGUCCCAAGACAGAUCAAUGACAAUCGUGGAUUUGCCAAGUGGUUUGGAAGUUCUGGUGCUGAACAGUGGGCUUGGAUGGAGGUGGCUCAUCAUUUAGUGUCUUUGUGGUGACGGUUUUAGUAUUUUCAUGUUGGUUGUAGCAUGGUUCUAGAGCAGCAAAUGGUGUUGUUUGAUGCCUGAAAUUGUGACAGAUUUUAUGAAACAUUGUGAUGCUAAGUCUGAUCUGAAACCCAGUAUAUAUCCAGUCUGUACUCAUCGUCCCAAGGGCAACUGACAUCUGUGAUCAAUUGAAGUUUCAUCUUCCUCCAUUAAUGGCCAACUGGACAGGCAAUUUCUUAUCAAAUUUUGGAGGAUGAUAGAUCAUUUGAUCUUUCUCUUCUUCAUCGUUGUAAUGGAUUGGUGAUUGAUGGUUAGUCCAUCAGAUGGCUUAUGCUUAUGGAUAAGAUUGGCACUGCUAUUGUGACCCAAACAGGGAAGUGUGCAUGUCAAAGAGAACUUUGUAUAUCUCAGCGAGUGGGUAUCUGUAUGAUGUUGCUUGAAA